ACUCCAUCUCAAAAGAAAAAAAAAAGAAAGAAAAUGGAGGAAGGAGACCCACCAUGAGCCAAGGAAUGCAGAUGGCUUCUCAAAGCUGAGAACAGUCCUUAGCUGAUAGCCAGAGCAAGAUAAUAAAGACCUCAGUUCUACAAUCACAAGGAACUGAAUUCUGCCAACAACCUGAAUGCACCAAGAGACAGACUCUUCCAAAGAUCCCUCAGAAAGAGACACAGACGUGCAGGUAUCUUGAUUUCAGCCUCACAGACACCCAUGUCAGACUUCUGACCUGCAGAACUCUAAGAUCUAAAAGGAUUAGGUAUAGUCUCCAGUUCCAACCUCAGGACAGCAGGAGUGAUAAGUCAUGGACGGCGCCAUGAGGAUACAGAAGAGGCUGCUAAAAGGAGCUCUGACAAAAGCAAAAGUGGUCAUUGAUAUCAAGGUAGAAGGAAAAGAAGACAAAAGAUGUACCAGAACUUCACUUUUUACCACUGACACGAGCUACUUCUUUGUUGAAUCAGGUCUAGACAACUAGCAAAACAAUAAAUCAAAUAAUGACUUCUAGCAUCAGCCAAUUUCUGCAACCAUGAUAUCCGUGAAGGCAGAGCUGGGAAAAGAAGAGCCGUAGCAGCACACCAUAUUACAGUGUUUCUCCUAUUCAAAUACAAGAGAUCUAAAUUACCUCAAGGCCAUAGAAAACAGU